rnacentral:rRNA from 1 species
AGAGUUUGAUCAUGGCUCAGGACGAACGCUGGCGGCGUGCUUAACACAUGCAAGUCGAGCGGGGAUGUUGACUUCGGUUGACAUUCUAGCGGCGGACGGGUGAGUAACGCGUGAACAAUCUGUCCCAGACAGGGGGAUAACAGAUGGAAACAUCUGCUAAUACCGCAUAAGACCACGGGAUCACAUGAUCAAGGGGUAAAAGAUUUAUCGGUCUGGGGUGAGUUCGCGUCCGAUUAGCUAGUUGGUGAGGUAACGGCCCACCAAGGCGACGAUCGGUAGCCGACCUGAGAGGGUGAUCGGCCACAUUGGAACUGAGACACGGUCCAAACUCCUACGGGAGGCAGCAGUGGGGAAUAUUGCACAAUGGGCGAAAGCCUGAUGCAGCAACGCCGCGUGAAGGAAGAAGGUCUUCGGAUCGUAAACUUCUGUCCUUAGGGAAGAUAAUGACGGUACCUUUGGAGGAAGCCCCGGCUAACUACGUGCCAGCAGCCGCGGUAAUACGUAGGGGGCAAGCGUUAUCCGGAAUUAUUGGGCGUAAAGAGUGCGUAGGUGGUUACCUAAGCAGGGGGUGAAAGGCAAUGGCUCAACCAUUGUUAGCCCCCUGAACUGGGUAUCUUGAGUGCAGGAGAGGAAAGCGGAAUUCCUAGUGUAGCGGUGAAAUGCGUAGAUAUUAGGAGGAACACCAGUGGCGAAGGCGGCUUUCUGGACUGAAACUGACACUGAGGCACGAAAGUGUGGGGAGCAAACAGGAUUAGAUACCCUGGUAGUCCACACCGUAAACGAUGAGCACUAGGUGUCGGGGGAGCAAUCCUUCGGUGCCGGAGUUAACGCAUUAAGUGCUCCGCCUGGGGAGUACGUACGCAAGUAUGAAACUCAAAGGAAUUGACGGGGACCCGCACAAGCAGCGGAGCAUGUGGUUUAAUUCGAAGCAACGCGAAGAACCUUACCAGGACUUGACAUCUCCUUGACCGCUUCUUAAUCGAAGCUUCUCUACGGAGCAAGGAAGACAGGUGGUGCAUGGUUGUCGUCAGCUCGUGUCGUGAGAUGUUGGGUUAAGUCCCGCAACGAGCGCAACCCUUGCCAUUAGUUGCCAUCAUUAAGUUGGGCACUCUAGUGGGACUGCCGGGGACAACUCGGAGGAAGGUGGGGAUGACGUCAAAUCAUCAUGCCCCUUAUGUUCUGGGCUACACACGUGCUACAAUGGUCGGUACAAAGAGCAGCAAUCU